rnacentral:rRNA from 1 species
CCUACGGGUGGGCAGCAGUGGGGAAUAUUGGACAAUGGGCGAAAGCCUGAUCCAGCCAUGCCGCGUGUGUGAAGAAGGCCUUCGGGUUGUAAAGCACUUUCAGUGGGGAAGAAAGCCUUGGGGCUAAUACCCUCGAGGAAGGACAUCACCCACAGAAGAAGCACCGGCUAACUCCGUGCCAGCAGCCGCGGUAAUACGGAGGGUGCGAGCGUUAAUCGGAAUUACUGGGCGUAAAGCGCGCGUAGGCGGUCUGAUAAGCCGGUUGUGAAAGCCCCGGGCUCAACCUGGGAACGGCAUCCGGAACUGUCAGGCUAGAGUGCAGGAGAGGAAGGUAGAAUUCCCGGUGUAGCGGUGAAAUGCGUAGAGAUCGGGAGGAAUACCAGUGGCGAAGGCGGCCUUCUGGACUGACACUGACGCUGAGGUGCGAAAGCGUGGGUAGCAAACAGGAUUAGAUACCCGGGUAGUC